AUGUGGAAUGAUGAAGAAAAUUAUCCUGAAGGAAGGCAAUGACUGUAUUUUUCAGUGUAUGCUUCUCCACAUUGAAGGCUUUAACUAGUCAUAGUUACACUGACCACAU